rnacentral:rRNA from 1 species
UACGAAGGGGGCUAGCGUUGCUCGGAAUCACUGGGCGUAAAGCGUGCGCAGACGGUUGCGUAAGUCAGAUGUGAAAGCCCCGGGCUCAACCUGGGAAUUGCAUUUGAGACUGCAUAGCUAGGGUGCGGAAGAGGGAAGCGGAAUUUCCGGUGUAGCGGUGAAAUGCGUAGAUAUCGGAAGGAACACCAGUGGCGAAAGCGGCUUCCUGGACCGAUACUGACGCUGAUGAGCGAAAGCCAGGGGAGCAAACGGG